AUUGAACGCUGGCGGCAUGCCUUACACAUGCAAGUCGAACGGCAGCACGGGAGCAAUCCUGGUGGCGAGUGGCGAACGGGUGAGUAAUAUAUCGGAACGUGCCCAGUCGUGGGGGAUAACGCAGCGAAAGCUGUGCUAAUACCGCAUACGAUCUAUGGAUGAAAGCGGGGGAUCGCAAGACCUCGCGCGAUUGGAGCGGCCGAUAUCAGAUUAGCUAGUUGGUGGGGUAAAGGCCCACCAAGGCGACGAUCUGUAGCUGGUCUGAGAGGACGACCAGCCACACUGGAACUGAGACACGGUCCAGACUCCUACGGGAGGCAGCAGUGGGGAAUUUUGGACAAUGGGCGCAAGCCUGAUCCAGCAAUGCCGCGUGCAGGAUGAAGGCCUUCGGGUUGUAAACUGCUUUUGUACGGAGCGAAACGGUCUGCCCUAAUACGGUGGGCUAAUGACGGUACCGUAAGAAUAAGCACCGGCUAACUACGUGCCAGCCGCCGCGGUAA
rnacentral:rRNA from 1 species